GCUUUCCUUGUCAUGGGGUGGAACGGGAGGCUCAAUGAACGGAUAGUGAGAGCCGCCCUGCUGACACCAGAGCAACACUCACGCAUCACCCGGGCUCCGCGCUCGGGCUGAGGUGCAAUUUUUGGAACA